rfam:Sus scrofa chromosome 15.
UCCCUGGUGGUCUAGUGCUUAGGACUCAGUGCUUCCAAUGCUGCAGCCUGGGUUCAGUCCCUGGUCUGGGAA